rnacentral:rRNA from 1 species
UGCCAGCCGCCGCGGUAAUACGGAGGGUGCAAGCGUUAAUCGGAAUUACUGGGCGUAAAGCGCGCGUAGGUGGUCUGUUAAGUCGGAUGUGAAAGCCCCGGGCUCAACCUGGGAACUGCAUUCGAUACUGGCAGACUAGAGUGCGGGAGAGGGAGGUAGAAUUCCAUGUGUAGCGGUGAAAUGCGUAGAUAUGUGGAGGAAUACCAGUGGCGAAGGCGGCCUCCUGGCUCGACACUGACACUGAGGCGCGAAAGCGUGGGGAGCAAACAGGAUUAGAUA